GACUCGGUGGCGGAUGGCCCGCGUCUGCGCGUGCUGGUAAUUACCAAGAAUGGUUGAGCAGAAGGCGCCUGUUCGAAUCAGGGUCGAGUCA